GAUGAACGCUGGCGGCGUGCCUAAUACAUGCAAGUCGAGCGAACAGACGAGGAGCUUGCUCCUCUGACGUUAGCGGCGGACGGGUGAGUACCACGUGGAUAACCUACCUAUAAGACUGGGAUAACUUCGGGACACCGGCGCUAAUACCGGAUAAUAUAUUGAACCGCAUGAUUCAAUAGUGAAAGACGGUUUUGCUGUCACUUAUAGAUGGAUCCGCGCCGCAUUAGCUAGUUGGUAAGGUAACGGCUUACCAAGGCAACGAUGCGUAGCCGACCUGAGAGGGUGAGCGGCCACACUGGAACUGAGACACGGUCCAGACUCCUACGGGAGGCAGCAGUAGGGAAUCUUCCGCAAUGGGCGAAAGCCUGACGGAGCAACGCCGCGUGAGUGAUGAAGGUCUUCGGAUCGUAAAACUCUGUUAUGAGGGAAGAACAAAUGUGUAAGUAACUAUGCACGUCUUGACGGUACCUAAUCAGAAAGCCACGGCUAACUACGUG
rnacentral:rRNA from 1 species